CUUCCUGGGUCUCUGAACUUACUGCCCAAUAUUGACGACAGGGCCACAUGCCAUCCUGGAAGUUUUGAACUUUCAGUGACUGUGACCCUACCGGCUAAGCCCAAUGAGAAGUCUUGGACUUCCAGGGUGUCUGACCCUUCCGGCUGAGCCCGAAGCAAGGACUCAGAAGUGGACACGCAGGUGGGACAGGGCUGCCUGACGUCCUGGAAGUCUUGGACCUCCAGACUCCCGAGCCCAAGGAGAGGUCUCACCCCUAUAUUUCACCCAUUGCACAUUACAUUGGCGUUGUGAAAUAAAGCUUUAUAAAAAUCGUAAGAGGUAGGAGCUCGCAUAGCGUCAGUAACGUUGAACGUAAAGCUAGACAAACACUAAACAUACUAGCCUAAAAUUAAAUAUAAACUUCACAGUAAACUAAACUUUAAAUAGCUAGACUUAAUAGACUUCACUCAGGAAACAUUCAAACGAAUCAGCACAGGACAGCUUAUCAUGGGGGCAACAGGUGGUGGGGCAUAUAACAAUAGCAAGAUAAUUAACCCAAUUAACACCAAAGCAAACAAUGGCAAUAUGCUUCCACACAAAACAAGUAACGUUGUCACGAUCCUGACACAAGACUAGAAAAGCAUUAAUGAUAGAGGCAGGAUCGUGACAUAUGGUGAAAUUGUCAUAUUUUUGUCUCUAACCUCUUCUGUGAGUUCAAUUUGUUUUACAGAUAGUAAAAACACUUGAUGGAAUGUUGUUAGAUGACCAACUCAUCAUCAAUGAUGAGGCACUUGAGGAGUGGCAGGCUGUGCAGAAGAGCACAUCCCAAAACAUGCAGCUGGACAAUAUGAGGUAGGAAGCUGUAGGUGAGGGAAAGACAGAGAUGAAGCAGGGGGGACAUGCAUGCUCCAUGACUGAUGGAAAGCUCUACAUACAGGAAUCAGUCAUUCAGAACACCUGAGAGGAUGCUGCACAUUCACUGUGCUGAACUGUGAAGACAGCGACUGAAAAGAUUCAAAACAACACUGAAUGCUGAUCUU